AUUUUUGGAUAAUCGCAUAGGAGUACUGCUCUUAUGAGGAAAGUCCAUGCUAGCACCGGCUGUGACUGCCGGUAGUGUUUGUGCUGGGCGAAAAAAUAAGCCCAGGGACGUGCUGAAGUGCGUUACGGCGGAUAAAACGGCUAAGUCUUUCUUUAGGAUAGGCCGGACUAAUCCUGAAAGUGCCACAGUGACGAAGUUUUACGGAAACGUAAAAAGUGGAACGAGGUAAACCCCUCAAGCUAGCAACCCAAACUUUGGUAGGGGCACGGGAUAGGCGGAAACCGAACGCUCUAUCCUGACUGGAAACAGUAGACAGAUGAUUAUCGAAGAAAGCAGGGCCUAGCUGCUUUCGGAACAAAACAUGGCUUAUAGAA
rnacentral:RNase_P_RNA from 3 species